rnacentral:rRNA from 1 species
GACGAACGCUGGCGGCGUGCUUAACACAUGCAAGUCGAACGGAAAGGCCCUGCUUUUGUGGGGUGCUCGAGUGGCGAACGGGUGAGUAACACGUGAGUAACCUGCCCUUGACUUUGGGAUAACUUCAGGAAACUGGGGCUAAUACCGGAUAGGAGCUCCUGCUGCAUGGUGGGGGUUGGAAAGUUUCGGCGGUUGGGGAUGGACUCGCGGCUUAUCAGCUUGUUGGUGGGGUAGUGGCUUACCAAGGCUUUGACGGGUAGCCGGCCUGAGAGGGUGACCGGCCACAUUGGGACUGAGAUACGGCCCAGACUCCUACGGGAGGCAGCAGUGGGGAAUAUUGCACAAUGGGCGGAAGCCUGAUGCAGCAACGCCGCGUGCGGGAUGACGGCCUUCGGGUUGUAAACCGCUUUCGCCUGUGACGAAGCGUGAGUGACGGUAAUGGGUAAAGAAGCACCGGCUAACUACGUGCCAGCAGCCGCGGUGAUACGUAGGGUGCGAGCGUUGUCCGGAUUUAUUGGGCGUAAAGGGCUCGUAGGUGGUUGAUCGCGUCGGAAGUGUAAUCUUGGGGCUUAACCCUGAGCGUGCUUUCGAUACGGGUUGACUUGAGGAAGGUAGGGGAGAAUGGAGUUCCUGGUGGAGCGGUGGAAUGCGCAGAUAUCAGGAGGAACACCAGUGGCGAAGGCGGUUCUCUGGGCCUUUCCUGACGCUGAGGAGCGAAAGCGUGGGGAGCGAACAGGCUUAGAUACCCUGGUAGUCCACGCUGUAAGCGGUGGGUACUAGGUGUGGGGUCCAUUCCACGGGUUCCGUGCCGUAGCUAACGCUUUAAGUACCCCGCCUGGGGAGUACGGCCGCAAGGCUAAAACUCAAAGGAAUUGACGGGGCCCCGCACAAGCGGCGGAGCAUGCGGAUUAAUUCGAUGCAACGCGUAGAACCUUACCUGGGUUUGACAUGGAUCGGGAGUGCUCAGAGAUGGGUGUGCCUCUUUUGGGGUCGGUUCACAGGUGGUGCAUGGCUGUCGUCAGCUCGUGUCGUGAGAUGUUGGGUUAAGUCCCGCAACGAGCGCAACCCUUGUUCACUGUUGCCAGCACGUUAUGGUGGGGACUCAGUGGAGACCGCCGGGGUCAACUCGGAGGAAGGUGGGGAUGACGUCAAGUCAUCAUGCCCCUUAUGUCCAGGGCUUCACGCAUGCUACAAUGGCUGGUACAGAGAGUGGCGAGCCUGUGAGGGUGAGCGAAUCUCGGAAAGCCGGUCUCAGUUCGGAUUGGGGUCUGCAACUCGACCUCAUGAAGUCGGAGUCGCUAGUAAUCGCAGAUCAGCAACGCUGCGGUGAAUACGUUCCCGGG